rnacentral:rRNA from 1 species
UACGUAGGGGGCAAGCGUUGUCCGGAUUUAUUGGGCGUAAAGCGCGUGUAGGCGGCCAGGUAGGUCAGUUGUGAAAACUCGGGGGCUCAACCCCGAGACGUCGAUUGAAACCCUCUGGCUAGAGUCCGGAAGAGGAGAGCGGAAUUCCUGGUGUAGGCGGUGAAAUGCGCAGAUAUCAGGAAGAACACCCGUGGCGAAGGCGGCUCUCGUGGGACGGUACCUGACGGCUGAGACGCGAAAGCGUGGGGAGCGAACAGGG